rnacentral:rRNA from 1 species
AACGAACGCUGGCGGCAUGCCUAACACAUGCAAGUCGAACGAGACCUUCGGGUCUAGUGGCGCACGGGUGCGUAACGCGUGGGAACCUGCCCUUAGGUUCGGAAUAACUCCCCGAAAGGGGUGCUAAUACCGGAUAAUGUCUUCGGACCAAAGAUUUAUCGCCUUUGGAUGGGCCCGCGUUGGAUUAGCUAGUUGGUAGGGUAAAAGCCUACCAAGGCGACGAUCCAUAGCUGGUCUGAGAGGAUGAUCAGCCACACUGGGACUGAGACACGGCCCAGACUCCUACGGGAGGCAGCAGUGGGGAAUAUUGGACAAUGGGCGAAAGCCGGAUCCAGCAAUGCCGCGUGAGUGAUGAAGGCCUUAGGGUUGUAAGCUCUUUUACCCGGGAUGAUAAUGACAGUACCGGGAGAAUAAGCGCCGGCUAACUCCGUG